ACUGGGCGUAAAGAGCUCGUAGGUGGUUUGUCGCGUUGUUCGUGAAAUCUCACGGCUUAACUGUGAGCGUGCGGGCGAUACGGGCAGACUUGAGUACUGCAGGGGAGACUGGAAUUCCUGGUGUAGCGGUGGAAUGCGCAGAUAUCAGGAGGAACACCGGUGGCGAAGGCGGGUCUCUGGGCAGUAACUGACGCUGAGGAGCGAAAGCGUGGGGAGCGAACAGGAUUAGAUACCCUGGUAGUCCACGCCGUAAACGGUGGGUACUAGGUGUGGGUUUCCUUCCUUGGGAUCCGUGCCGUAGCUAACGCAUUAAGUACCCCGCCUGGGGAGUACGGCCGCAAGGCUAAAACUCAAAGAAAUUGACGGGGGCCCGCACAAGCGGCGGAGCAUGUGGAUUAAUUCGAUGCAACGCGAAGAACCUUACCUGGGUUUGACAUGCACAGGACGCCGGCAGAGAUGUCGGUUCCCUUGUGGCCUGUGUGCAGGUGGUGCAUGGCUGUCGUCAGCUCGUGUCGUGAGAUGUUGGGUUAAGUCCCGCAACGAGCGCAACCCUUGUCUCAUGUUGCCAGCGGGUAAUGCCGGGGACUCGUGAGAGACUGCCGGGGCCAACUCGGAGGAAGGUGGGGAUGACGUCAAGUCAUCAUGCCCCUUAUGUCCAGGGCUUCACACAUGCUACAAUGGCCGGUACAAAGGGCUGCGAUGCCGCGAGGUUAAGCGAAUCCUUUUAAAGCCGGUCUCAGUUCGGAUCGGGGUCUGCAACUCGACCCCGUGAAGUCGGAGUC
rnacentral:rRNA from 1 species